rnacentral:rRNA from 1 species
AGCAAUAAGAACCCGUGACAGGUGCUGCAUGGCUGUCGUCAGCUCGUGUCGUGAGAUGUUGGGUUAAGUCCCGCAACGAGCGCAACCCUCGCCUUAGUUGCCAGCAUUCAGUUGGGCACUCUAGAGGGACUGCCGGUGGUCAAACCCGGAGGAAGGUGGGGAUGACGUCAAGUCCUCAUGGCCUUUAUGUCUAGGGCUACACACGUACUACAAUGGCCGGUACAAAGGGCAGCCACUCAGCGAUGAGGCGCUAAUCCCAUAAAGCCGGUCUCAGUCCGGAUCGCAGUCUGCAACUCGACUGCGUGAAGUUGGAAUCGCUAGUAAUCGUAGAUCAGCAUGCUACGGUGAAUACGUUCCCGGGCCUU